rnacentral:tRNA from 1 species
GUUCAGGGAUGGGAAACGAACCCACAGUGCUCCGUUUACCGGACAGAUGGCAUGUCCACUAGGCUACCCUGGA